rnacentral:rRNA from 1 species
CCUACGGGAGGCUGCAGUGGGGAAUAUUGGGCAAUGGGCGCAAGCCUGACCCAGCAACGCCGCGUGAAGGAAGAAGGCUUUCGGGUUGUAAACUUCUUUUCUCAGGGACGAAGCAAGUGACGGUACCUGAGGAAUAAGCCACGGCUAACUACGUGCCAGCAGCCGCGGUAAUACGUAGGUGGCAAGCGUUAUCCGGAUUUACUGGGUGUAAAGGGCGUGUAGGCGGGGACGCAAGUCAGAUGUGAAAACCACGGGCUCAACCUGUGGCCUGCAUUUGAAACUGUGUUUCUUGAGUGCUGGAGAGGCAAUCGGAAUUCCGUGUGUAGCGGUGAAAUGCGUAGAUAUACGGAGGAACACCAGUGGCGAAGGCGGAUUGCUGGACAGUAACUGACGCUGAGGCGCGAAAGCGUGGGGAGCAAUCAGGAUUAGAUACCCUAGUAGUC